rnacentral:rRNA from 1 species
UACGGAGGGUGUAAGCGUUGUUCGGAAUUAUUGGGCGUAAAGCGCACGUAGGCGGGUUUUAUCAGUCGAUUGUGAAAAUCCCCCGGGCUUAACCCGGGACUUUGCAGUCGAUACUGUAAAUCUUGAAUGUUUGAGAGGAUGGCGGAAUUCCUGGUGUAGAAGUGAAAAUUCGUAGAUAUCAGGAGGAACACCCCGAGGCGAAGGCGGCUGUCUGGCAAAUACAUUUGACGUGAGGGUGCGAAAAAGCGUGGG